rnacentral:rRNA from 1 species
UACGGAAGGUCCGGGCGUUAUCCGGAUUUAUUGGGUUUAAAGGGAGCGUAGGCCGGAGAUUAAGCGUGUUGUGAAAUGUAGACGCUCAACGUCUGCACUGCAGCGCGAACUGGUUUCCUUGAGUACGCACAAAGUGGGCGGAAUUCGUGGUGUAGCGGUGAAAUGCUUAGAUAUCACGAAGAACUCCGAUUGCGAAGGCAGCUCACUGGAGCGCAACUGACGCUGAAGCUCGAAAGUGCGGGUAUCGAACAGGAUUAGAUACCCCUGUAGCUGACUGACU